CAGCAGCCGCGGGAAUACGUAGGUGGCAAGCGUUGUCCGGAAUUAUUGGGCGUAAAGGGCUCGCAGGCGGUUUCUUAAGUCUGAUGUGAAAGCCCCCGGCUCAACCGGGGAGGGUCAUUGGAAACUGGGAAACUUGAGUGCAGAAGAGGAGAGUGGAAUUCCACGUGUAGCGGUGAAAUGCGUAGAGAUGUGGAGGAACACCAGUGGCGUAGGCGACUCUCUGGUCUGUAACUGACGCUGAGGAGCGAAAGCGUGGGGAGCGAACAGGAUUAGAUACCCCCGUAGUCCCUGUCUCUUAUAC
rnacentral:rRNA from 1 species